rnacentral:rRNA from 1 species
UACGUAGGGGGCAAGCGUUGUCCGGAUUUAUUGGGCGUAAAGAGCGUGUAGGCGGCCAGGUAGGUCCGCUGUGAAAACUCGAGGCUCAACCUCGAGACGUCGGUUGAAACCGCUUGGCUAGAGUCCGGAAGAGGAGAGUGGAAUUCCCGGUGUAGCGGUGAAAUGCGCAGAUAUCGGGAAGAACACCCGUGGCGAAGGCGGCUCUCUGGGACGGUACUGACGCUGAGACGCGAAAGCGUGGGGAGCGAACAGG